rnacentral:tRNA from 1 species
GUGGGUAUAGCUCAGUGGUAGAGUGCAUGCUUAGCAUGCAUGAGGUCCAAGGUUCAAUCCUCAAUACCUCCA